rnacentral:rRNA from 1 species
GAUGAACGCUGGCGGCGUGCCUAAUACAUGCAAGUCGAGCGAACAGACGCGGAGCUUGCUCCUCUGACGUUAGCGGCGGACGGGUGAGUAACACGUGGAUAACCUACCUAUAAGACUUGGAUAACUUCCGGAAACCGGAGCUAAUACCGGAUAAUAUAUUGAACCGCAUGGUUCAAUAGUGUAAGACGGUUUUGCUGUCACUUAUAGAUGGAUCCGCGCCGCAUUAGCUAGUUGGUAAGGUAACGGCUUACCAAGGCAACGAUGCGUAGCCGACCUGAGAGGGUGAUCGGCCACAAUAGAAGUGAGACACGGUCCAGACUCCUACGGGAGGCAGCAGUAGGGAAUCUUACGGAAUGGGCGAAAGAAUGACGGAGCAACGCCGCGUGAGGGAUGAAGGUCUUCGGAUCGUAAAACUCUGUUAUUAGGGAAGAACAAAUGUGUAAGUAACUAUGCACGUCUUGACGGUACCUAAUCAGAAAGCCACGGCUAACUACGUG